UACAGAGGGUGCGAGCGUUAAUCGGAAUUACUGGGCGUAAAGGGCGCGUAGGCGGUGAGACAAGUGAGCUGUGAAAGACCUGGGCUUAACCUGGGAUUGGCAGCUUAAACAGUUUGACUGGAGUACAGUAGAGGGCAGUGGAAUUUCCGGUGUAGCGGUGAAAUGCGCAGAUAUCGGGAGGAACACCAGUAGCGAAGGCGGCACUCUGGGCCGGUACUGACGCUGAGGAGCGAAAGCGUGGGGAGCAAACAGG
rnacentral:rRNA from 1 species